rnacentral:lncRNA from 1 species
AUCUGUGUCCUCCAUAGAUGGAGCUCACAUCACGGAGCUCAUGAGAAGCUGAGUGCCAGCUACCACACACACAUUCAGACAUUUGCUGUCGGGCCACGGGCCAUGCUGAUGGAGAAAAGGUAGCCUAAAUUCUCUGGUAACGGGGGUGAGAGAGAGAGAGAGAGAUGUGGCGAUGAAAAUAAAGAAUAAGGAAAGGAAUAGCGACUUCAGGGGACUUUGCCUGGGUUGGGGCUCAGGCCGGGGCCUGGGAAGUAUGAGAGACAGAGGGUGAUAAAAGGGCAUCAGGUGUUAGAGAGCAGCUGGACCAGAAGACCCACCAUCCGGCAGCAACACCCAAAGACCUUUGGUCACAUAAUGUGGGGACGGGGAGGGAGGAGCUCUGGCACUGGAGAUAGCCUUGGGCACCUGGCAAUGCCCUCCCGCCCCUUCCCCGCUGACUAGUUCACAGAGGCCUUGCCCCAUGCCACUGCACUGCCUUGACACUGACACACAGCACUGCCGGCCCAGGGACUUCUCAGGGUCCAAACCUCCUACAUUCCCAGGGCUCCCAGAAAUCAGAGCUGAACCCACAAGGCACACAGAGCUGGGCCUCUGAGCUGGCUCCCAAAAAGAAGUGUGUUGAGGGAAACAUUCUCAGCAACAUUGAGAAUGUUUUCACUGGACCACUGUUUACCUUGUUUAACGAGAAGCUGUCACUAAGCAUUAAGGUUUCUUUGAUUUGGAGACUUCUCUGCACACCAGAGAACCAGUGGCAUAGGGUUGCCUCCUGCUCUGCACAGUGUCUUCCGGGGCUGCUGGUGGCAGGAUGUGGCGGCCUGGUUCAACAGCUGUGAUUAGUGACCCUGAUUGUAGCCGCUAGCUGAGUGAUUGUAAAAUCAGGAAGUGAGGAGGGUUUUGUGUUCCCUCCUGGCCCCUCCUGCAAGGAACUCUGGAUGGAAAGGUGAACUUGCUAAGUGCAGUUGUGCUUUGCUGACAUCUGCUCCCGUUUUUGCCCCUUCACUGCUUUUAAUGAAUUCUGGGUUCAGGCACCCUGAGCCCUGAACGUAUGGAAUCUGUCCUGGGAGAAUCUGUUUGUUUUAUAGAGGUGGUGAUGAGCAGAGGCAUCCAGGCAGGUCUAUUCAUGUGGGAAAGCAGAGAGUUGCCCUGGAUCCUACUUAAGGCCAGACCCUUCAGGUCUCCAGAGGGGACAGGCCUGGCACUGUCUGUAAGCAACUCUCGAAGAAGCCAGACUUUUCCUGUAAAUGUAUAACCAAAAAAAAAAAAAAAAAAAAAAAAAAGACUAUUUUGGAGCAAAGAAGCCAGAAAAAGGGCUAAUGGGGGAUGAGAGCGUAAGCCUGGCCCAGUGACCCAAAUCCUGAGUUUGUGGAGGUGUUUACAGGGGCUGAACGGCCAGGCCCAGG